AUGACUGAAGCUCAAACCACCCAACCCACCACAACCAUCAGCAAACUGUAUCCUAUAUGCACAACCAGGUCAAAGACUGAAAACAGCCAAACCAUUCACACCACCACUGUCCCUCCAGGAAGAGACUACUACAAUACAGACCGCAACAAAGAAGUCUUCCCUACAUCCCAGACUGGGGGAGAAUACACCAGAGCUCAAGAUUACAUCACAAACAUCUCUACAGUCAAGACUGAGAGAAAUGACACAGAAGAUGAUAUUAACGUCACCCAUUCUUUCAAGAAUGAGAUGGUGAAGUAUAGUGAUGUCAUACCAACAUCUCAGUCCAAUGGAAACCAUACUCAAGAUGGGGGCAAGGACUUUGAUGACCAAGGCUCCAUUGCCUCCGAUAUGACCCAAACUGAGAACUAUAAUAUCGCCACAGAGCCUACCACUACAGCUACUGCAAGAUCCACAAUGGGAGGCAUGACUGUAAAUGCUGCUUCAACCAGAAAGAAGAUGAGGUCUUGUAAAAUAUUUAGCUGUAUCGGCAUAACAUGCUACAAACAUGUGAAGGUCAUGGAGGAGUUGUGUGAGGAGGGUAUGGACUUCUGUGAGCUCAAGAAAGCCUCAAGCCAGGUCACCUGGAAUACAUAUGUGGCGGUGUGGAGUGCUGGAUGCGCCAGAGACUGCAGACAGAGCACUAAGUGUGGUCCCUUCAGCUCGUACCAAUGCCACAAUGAGUGUUGUGUGGCUGGGUCUGUCUCCUGUCUCAGACUGGAUGGUUCUCUCAACAUGCCUGUCAACUCUGCCUGCUGUGGCCUGGGGAGUCUCUCCCUCCUGGCUCUGAGUGUAACCUCUCUACUGGACAAUCUACUCAACACUCGCUAA
rnacentral:lncRNA from 1 species